CCGUUCUGAUCAAAGGAAAUUAAGAAAAAGGUAUUAGAAAGUGCAAUGCAUAGUGUUGAAAUCAAAUUUGAUAAUUGUGUUGUAAAUUGCAAGAGUGAAGAUUUCUAAUUGCAUAUUGUUUGUUAUCUUCCUGGUUAUCAAUGAUAAGAGCCUUCUUGAGCAAUUCAAAGUCACUUUCCUCUGUUCCAGAAUGCUCUUCAAGAUCCAUUAUCCUGAAAUGCAGUGAAAUCAAUUUGGCAUUGCACAUAAGAUACAUCAAUGUUGGUGCUCCAAUUUUCCCUUAUUACCUCAAUAUAUGUGAUAGGUCCUCAAUUUAUAAAUGUGGCAAUAAGAAUGAAUAAGAGAUUAAUCAACAUAUGAUAGUGUAUUUUAUUGAUGAUAAAGGAAAAUUGAGCAAAG
rnacentral:lncRNA from 1 species